UACGUAGGGUGCAAGCGUUGUCCGGAAUUAUUGGGCGUAAAGAGCGUGUAGGCGGCCAGGUAGGUCUGGUGUGAAAACUCGAGGCUUAACCUCGAGAUGUCAUCGGAAACCAUCUGGCUAGAGUCCGGAAGAGGAGAGUGGAAUUCCUGGUGUAGCGGUGAAAUGCGCAGAUAUCAGGAAGAACACCAAUGGCGAAAGCAGCUCUCUGGGACGGUACUGACGCUGAGACGCGAAAGCGUGGGAGCGAACAGG
rnacentral:rRNA from 1 species